rnacentral:tRNA from 1 species
GCCUUUGUGGUGUAGUGGUCAGCACGCUUGACGCGUAACCGAGAGGUCCGUGGUUCGAUUUCCGGCGAAGGGG